GCUCCUCUGGCCAAUCACCCCUCUUGGAAGCUUCUGGUGCCCCAGGCCCUCUCUGGGGUGUUGGCCGUCUCCUCGGCCCCUGGGCACCUGCCCUGGAAAUCCCACAAUCCUGAUCAUCUGGGUGCCUCAGCAAGGCGGGCCAGGCAGCCCGGGAGGCCGAGCACCCAGGGCAGCCAAGCAGCCAGGGCCCAGUGUCCCUCCCGUCCCCAGGGGAAGCAGAAGGCCAAAGCGCUAGGAGGCAGUGAAGACGCACCACUGUCCUAUGCCCGCUGGCCAGCAGGUGGCAAUGUCCCAUGUUUUAUGGCCCCGGAUGGGGUUUUUCCAAACUGCAGCUUUAAGAUCAAGGGGAAAUAAGGGUGACUGAACCUGCGACCUGGAAGGGGAAGGAAUGAAGGGAGUGAAAAUGAAUUCAGGGCUCCACACAGCUCUGCUGUGUGUGAGGCCUGUCCUGAGUAGGGAGGGUGUCGUCUCCCCCUGCCUGGACAUCUGCAGGAUGGUGGGCUGGAGCCCAGGCCAGGGACAGCAGGCUCUGUGUCGGCCUGGUUGCUCCUAUCUCCCUAGCGCUGCUCUCUUGGGCCCUGGCCUGGACACAGAGGGCGCAGUGUGGCCCAAGCCCCUCCCUGAGCCUCCUC
rnacentral:lncRNA from 1 species